rnacentral:rRNA from 1 species
GAUGAACGCUAGCGGCAGGCUUAAUACAUGCAAGUCAAGGGGGUAGCAAUACAACCGGCGCACGGGUGAGUAACGCGUACACAACAUACCAUAUACUGGAGUAUAGCUUUGGGAAACUGAAGGUAAUCCUCCAUAACAUUGCGAGAGGGCAUCUGAUUGCAAUUAAAGUUCCGGCGGUAUAUGAUUGGUGUGCGUUUGAUUAGCCAGUUGGUAGGGUAACGGCCUACCAAGGCGACGAUCAAUAGCUGGCGUGAGAGCGCGACCAGCCACACUGGAACUGAGACACGGUCCAGACUCCUACGGGAGGCAGCAGUAGGGAAUAUUGGACAAUGGGCGAAAGCCUGAUCCAGCCAUGCCGCGUGAUAGAUGAAGGCCCUCUGGGUUGUAAAUAUCUUUUAUCUGGGAAGAAACUCCUCUAUUCUUAGAGGCCUGACGGUACCAGAGGAAUAAGCACCGGCUAACUCCGUGCCAGCAGCCGACGG